rnacentral:rRNA from 1 species
UCCGAGAACUAUCUUCGGAUAUAGUAAACUGGCGAACGGGUGAGUACGCGUAAACAACUUGCCUCAGAGAUUGGGACAACAUUGGGAAACCAGUGCUAAUACCAAAUAAUGCAGCGGGCUCUUCGGAGCACAGUUGUUAAAGUAGGCUUCGGCUUACACUUUGAGAUAGGUUUGCGUCCGAUUAGUUAGUUGGUAGGGUAAAAGCCUACCAAGACCAAGAUCGGUAGCUGGUCUGAGGGGAUGAUCAGCCACACUGGAAUUGAGAUACGGUCCAGACUCCUACGGGAGGCAGCAGUAAGGAAUUUUGCACAAUGGGCGAAGGCCUGAUGCAGCAACGCCGCGUGAACGAUGAAGUUUUUAGGAAUGUAAAGUUCUGUCGUAUGGGAAGAGAUCUUUCGAAUGUUAAUACCAUUCGUUAAUGACGGUACCAUACAAGAAAGCACCGGCUAACUUCGUGCCAGCAGCCGCGGUAAUACGAGGGGUGCUAGCGUUGUCCGGAUUUACUGGGCGUAAAGGGUACGUAGGCGUUUUAAUAAGUUGUAUGUUACAUAUCUUAGCUUAACUAAGAAAAUGCAUCCAAAACUGUAAAAUAGAGUUUGAGAGAGGAACGCAGAACUCAUGGUGGAGCGGUGACAUGCGUAG